AAAGAUUUAGUUAAAUUUAUAACAUUGGAUUGUCAAAUCAAAAUUAUUCUGUAAAUAAUCUUUG
rnacentral:tRNA from 1 species